CGCGAUCAUAGGUACUUCCUAUUUCUCGGCCGCGCGAUCACUCACUGAUCUCCGUUGUCAUCUGUCGUGAGGUUCCGCACGUCGCGAAACUCUAGACGGUCUUAUCGGCGCGCUCCAGGUGGAAAUAGCAAAAACAGUACACGCCAUCGGUACAGCUGGCAGAGAAAGGAGAGUGUUCGACGACGAGUUCGAUAAAGAUGCAAGACACGAACGCGAGUCAGCAAGUCGCGUGCGACGAUCACGCGCUCGACAAGGAUUGCUCGAAAUUUUGCCGUCUCCUGAGCGUCACGCUGAGCAAUAUUAUCAAGCACAGUGUGAACGGUGAGUUUCGAAGCGAUUGUUUCAGAACGUUGAAGACCGACAACUCGUUCGGCGCGCAAACGACUCUCGCCUCUGGUUUGUCGGCGAUUGUGGCGCGCGAUAAAAAAGAUCGCGUCGCUCAAAAGAGGACGGACAAUGGAAACGACGGGAAAAGUGACUGAAACAAUGUCAGUGAGGUGCAAUUGUCAAAAGAAAAACAAAACUCAGUCACGCAAACAAUGCCGAAAAAAUUUGCGUGACGAAAAACUACACAACAAUCGUCACUUCGCAAUUUUGUUUUUGUUUCCGCAAUUGGUUUCGUCAAAUCAAACACAAGGAUUUUAAUUAAACAUUUUCGACAUAAUUUUAUUUGUAAGGAUUACACUUGGGAUUUGUUCUUUACAAUUUUUAUUGUAAGGAUCAGAAGGAAUUAAUAAGGUUUUUUUUUCUUUUUAUAUUAAAUGUAGAGCGUAAUGAGAGAGAGUGACACAUUGUUCGGUCUAUAUAAUACUAUUAUUUUUUUUUUCGUUAUAUUUCAUGACUCUUUGAUACAUACAAAGCAGUUCAAUUAUUAUAUAUUUGCUAGUGUAACAGUACAAAGAAUACGAGUAAAUAUAAAAAUCCAAGAAUAAUAAUAAUAAUAAUAAUAAUAAUAAUAAUUACAAAGAAUUGUUAUUAAAGCUUCUCUAACAAUAAUAAAAUUAAUAUAUCUCUUUCUUCGUGUGUUCGUAUAUAAUAAAUUAACAACGAACUUUAAAAAUCUUUCGUUACAAUUCAGCUAAAGAUAAUCGACGAGAUAGGAGAGACAAAGAUGAAGUAACUUGGAGAAAUAAAGAAAUAAAUUUGUUUCAUGUCGUCAUCUUUGUCGCGUGAUCUGUGUUUUUUUUUUUUUUUUUGUUCGAUAUUGAAUCCUUCGCGAUGAGAUUCAAGUGAAAAAAAACAAUAGCAAACAGAUCGAAUAGAAAACAAAAACAAAAGAUAUAAAAACAUUUUAGCGGAAUUGCAUAAAUAAUGGUAAUAAUCGUCGUCAAAUGCAACAUCGUAUAAUCCGCUCGUAAAGUAGUACAAAUAAGCCCAAAAAGUAUAUAGCGUAUACAACACGAAUCAAUAUAUGUAUAAAUAUAUUAUGAAAACUAGACGAGAGUGUUGAGAUUUUUAAUGUAACAAAGUCUAUAUAUAUAUAUAUAUAUAUAUCGCUAUCGUUUUGUUUAGUUUUGUUGUUUUUUUUUUUUUUUUUUUUUUUUAGAUACCUGUUUGUUCGAUGUUCCAUUCUAAUUAUUAGUUGCCCUGUUGUAUAUAAUAAUUCAGUGUUUUCAGAAACCGAAAAGAUGCAAAACUGCGAGAUAGGACACGCGAGAGGGAGAUCAAUCAAUUCAAGUAACUGUGUUCUACAAUUUUACACUUUGCUCUAAAAUGCAGAUUGAAUACUGAAUAAUCGCGUUUGUUUGUUUGUUUGUUUUUUUUUUUUUUUUGCGCCAUUAA